rfam:Anoxybacillus flavithermus strain 25 c91, whole genome shotgun sequence.
ACUGACCCAUCUUGUCGAACAAGGUGGCUCCCGUUAACAAAACGCCAUCGGCGGGAGUAAAAUCUCGUGAAUUGCUGGAACACCCUAAAGCCAAUUGAACCACAACGUAGCUGGCAACGGCAAGCGUGACGGUGUAAAAAUCAAUUGGAUGGAACAAUGGGCGACCAGCAGCCAAGCAUCUCUGGAAACGGAGAUGAAGGUUCAGAGACUAUCGAAACUUCCUGAUUUGAAAAUGGAAGGAGUAGACCAUCAUAUUCGGUGACGAGAUGAUGGGGCACGAGACAAAGAGGCUUCCUCUUUGAUGAGAUAGUCCGAUCUCUAGUGAAAGCUAGAG